rnacentral:rRNA from 1 species
UUUGAGGGUUUGAUCCUGGCCCAGGAUGAACGCUAGCGGCGUGCUUUGAAUAUGCAAGUGGGACGAGCUCCGCAAGGAGCGAGUCGCGAACGGCUGAGUAAUGGAUAGGAAUCUACCUUUUGAUGUGGAAUACCCCUGCGAAAGCAGGGCUAAUACCGCAUAAGACCUAACGGUGAAAGCACUUAACUGUGCGUCGAAAGAUGAGCCUAUCUCCCAUCAGCUUGUUGGUAGGGUAAUGGCCUACCAAGGCUAUGACGGGUAGGGGGCGUGAGAGCGUGACCCCCCAGAAUGGGACUGAGAACGGCCCAUACACCUACGGGUGGCAGCAGCUGGGAAUCGUACGCAAUGGACGAAAGUCUGACGUCGCGACGCCGCGUGGAGGAUGAAGGCCUUCGGGUUGUAAACUUCUUUUGUCCUGAAUGAGAAUUCAGGAAGAAUAAGCACCUGCUAACUCUGUGCCAGCAGCAGCGGUCAUACAGAGGGUGCAAGCGUUAUCCGGAUUUAUUGGGCGUAAAGCGUUUCGUAGGCGGCCUUUUAAGUUAUCCUUUAAAGACCACGGCUCAACCGGGGGAAGGGGGAUAAUACUAUUAGGCUUGAAGUGUGGUGGGGCUUCUGGAACUGACGGUGUAGGAGUGAAAUCCGUUGAUAUCGUCAGGAACUCCAAGGGCGAAGGCAGGAAGCUAACCACAUCUUGACGCUGAGGAACGACAGCUAGGGGAGCGAAAUGGAUGUAACAAUUUGUAGAGACCCAUGUAGUCCUAGCCGUAAACUAUGCUCGCUAGAGAUUAUCAAUUUAUUGGUAGUCCCGUAAGCUAACGCGUUAAGCGAGCCGCCUGGGGAGUACGGCCGCAAGGCUAAAACUCAAAGGAAUUGACGGGGACCCGCACAACCAGUGGAGCACUUUGACAUGCUAUCGUUUACUUCGAUGGAAACAUUGAGGGAUCUAAAUUUAUUUGGAUGAUAGCACAGGUGUUGCAUGGCCGUCGUCAGCUCGUGUCGUGGGAUGUUCCCUUCAGUGGGGUAACGAGCGCAACCCCCACCAAAUGUUGAAUAUUCAUUUGGGACUAUCUGAAUUUAUUUCAGGUGGAAGUGGGGACGACGUCAGGUCCGCAUUGCCCUUAUAGACUGGGCUACACACAUGCUACAAUGGAGCCGACAAUGGGUUGCCAAGAGGUAACUCGGAGCUAAUCCCAUCAAACGGCUUCUCAGUUGGGAUUGGGGGCUGCAAUUCGCCCCCAUGAACUCGGAAUUGGUAGUAAUCGGAGGUCAGCUAUACUCCGGUGAAUACGUUCUCGGGUCUUGUAC